rnacentral:lncRNA from 1 species
CUCACAUUGUCUUUGAUCCCUGUGGUCUAAAUGGCUGCAUUUUAUAGACUCAGAGGCAUUUAGUGUCUGUUAAGAAAAAAGAUAAUAACCUCCAAAUUCCUAUUGCCUUUUCCCAAAUUAUUUACAGAUUUCAGUUACUAACUGAAAAGAGGGCCUUCAUUCAAAUAUGAAUAAAGGAAGUGAUGUGGCAUUUACUCAACAUUUCAUUUUUUCUUCUUGGUUCUUUUUACUUUCCAGCUGUUCAGUGUCUUUUCUCUUAUGCCCAGACUAUAUACCAGCCUUACCAGUCUUGGCAGAGGAGAGAUGUCUGUCCCAAGAGGAAUAUUGGACUCUCUCCUGUCAUUUGCAUACAAUUCACCUACCCUAAGCUCUGUUUCCAAAGAUACUGGCCUUUCCAUGCUGAAAUGAUGGAGAGUGAAAAUAAGAUAUCAAAUGUUGGCAGCUAUCAGUCUACCUGUAGGGCAGCUGCUGAGACUUUACUGCCUGUAUAUGGACCCUGACUAUCCUCCAGCUCAUAUCAGGACACUUGAGAAGGACCCAAGGAUCACCACUGGGCUCUAAGAAUGAAGGAGGUGAGGACUAAAGUGAAUGUUAUUCUGCAUCACAUGGAGCCCUUCCAAAAGACUGUUGCUGAUGUGUUAUUCAUUCAGAAACCUUGAUUCCUUCCACCUUGUUCAUAACUCCUCACAUCAGAUCAAUAAAAAAAUACCAUUGAUUCUAAUUAACA